UCCAAUAUGGUGGUUCUGUCGGAAAAGGGGGCACACCCACAGAACCCUGCUCUCUUGUGCUCCUCCACAUCUUCUGGAUGGGCACGGGCUCUCCCUUGCCACCCACCCUGGAACCAGGAUCUCUCCCCUAUGCCUCCCCACCCCACUGUCUGUGACAGUCAGCAGGUAAACACACCAAAUGCCAGUGGGCGGGAAGGUCACAAACUGAGGUUGCCCUGCCAGCUGGAAGUGGAAACGCGCCCCUGGUGCUGAAAGCAGGUCACUCAUCACAGAGAACUCUAGCGGUUGUUAUGGUUUGAGGAAGGGGCUACAGACUUCCUGCGCUACUCUCCAGUUUGUGGAGGACACCUAUACACCCUCGUCUGCAAGCCGCUGUGGCAGCUACACUGUCAGAGGCAGGCUGGACUGGGAAUUUGCCUUGGGAGCGCAUUCCUUUCUCCCGAGGCAUGCUUCGCUGCGAGUGCACUCCAGUUGCGGACAGCCAAGUCACUCAGCGCAAGAGUAUGAAGACCCAAGAACAGAAGUUCUGAUGUCCCAGGGCAGGAAAAAAUGUCUGCCCCAUCUCAAGGAACAAGAUAAUUCACCCUUCCUUAGAUUUUUUGUUCUAUUUGGGCCCUCAAAGGAUUAGAUGAUACCUACCCAUAUUGGUUUAUUGGCAAGUGUCCAAACCUUUAUGUGCAGUGUUACAUAAUUAUUUUAUGGACUUUAAACUGGCUGUCAUGUUUUGAUAUCAACACCAUUGUGGAGACAAAACAAUAAGAGAAUAAAUGUUAUCGAACAUCAAGUGAUUUUAUAAAGCUUCAAAAAUGUAAUGUGUGAAGUCCCUCAAGU